rnacentral:rRNA from 1 species
CCUACGGGGUGCAGCAGUAGGGAAUCUUCCACAAUGGGCGAAAGCCUGAUGGAGCAACGCCGCGUGGGUGAAGAAGGUCUUCGGAUCGUAAAACCCUGUUGUUAGAGAAGAAAGUGCGUGAGAGUAACUGUUCACGUUUCGACGGUAUCUAACCAGAAAGCCACGGCUAAAUACGUGCCAGCAGCCGCGGUAAUACGUAGGUGGCAAGCGUUAUCCGGAUUGAUUGGGCGUAAAGGGAACGCAGGCGGUCUUUUAAGUCUGAUGUGAAAGCCUUCGGCUUAACCGGAGUAGUGCAUUGGAAACUGGGAGACUUGAGGGCAGGAGAGGAGAGUGGAACUCGAUGUGUAGCGGUGAAAUGCGUAGAUAUAUGGAAGAACACCAGUGGCGAAGGCGGCUCUCUGGUCUGUAACUGACGCUGAGGUUCGAAAGCGUGGGUAGCAAACAGGAUUAGAUACCCUAGUAGUC